CCGCAGGGCGUUCUGGGAAAGCUCCCAGAAGGGCGGGCGGCUGGCCUCAUGUGGCUCACCCUCUGUCCAUCCUGAAAGGGAACCUGACGCCAGAGGAGCUGCACUGUGACCGCAGAGCAGGCCUCACCGAGGACGCCGAGGGAGGUGGAGGAGGAGGCUGGGCCCACGGGCAUCUUGGAGCUGCUGGGCCUGCACCGGCCCCGCCAGACACCUCAUUGGGUAUAUUCCAGACAAGAAGGUCAACUCCAAGAAAGGAGAUCCAUUAACCAGUGCUAAGCUGCCAGUCGUUAGAGGAGGGAGCUCUAGACGGAGACGAGAAGAGGAUGAAAACUCCCAGUGGGCUGCUCCCUUGCAGGAUCUCCCCAGCACCCGCAACUGACAAGGUCUAACACUGCAGCAUGUGGCACAGGAGACGUGUGCAGGGUCCAGCUUCAGUACCACAAUGCAGGACAAAGAGGAGUGAAAUCUGAACCGAGAGGCAAUAAAUUGAUAAUGAGCACAGUCCCCUAAUUUUCAGAGCAUUAAUAGAGAGGUCUUUUCUAAAGAUGCUGAGUGUUGGAAGUGGGAAAAAGUCCAGGGCCUUAUCUGAUGCCAGAAUCCUUUCAAUAAAAAUAAAAUGUUGAUAGUAA